rnacentral:misc_RNA from 1 species
AGGAACUAAUGGGGAGUGAACAGAGAGUUGCAGCUGAAACUCAUGUCCUAACGCUUCCUCUGCCCUUCCAAGGCCACAUAAACCCCAUGCUCCAAUUCUCCAAGCGCCUGGAACACAAAGGACUCCAAGUAACACUUGUUACUACUCGAGCCAUUUCUAAUACCAUACAGAGGAUAUCAUCAUCCACUUCCAUUCCUCUCGAGACCAUAUCCGAUGGCUAUGAUGAAGGUGGUAGAAUCCAUGCAGAGAACAUCCAGGCCUACUUGGAACGCUUUUGGCAGGUUGGUUCCAAGACCCUUGUCAAUCUUGUUGAAAGGUUGAAUAGUUCAGUUUCAGGGUGCCCUGUUGAUUGUAUAAUAUAUGAUGCAUUUAUGCCUUGGGGUCUUGAUGUAUCCAAGAAGUUUGGGUUGGUUUCUGCUGCUUUUUUCACUCAAUCUUGUGCAGUAGACAGCAUAUAUUAUCAUGUGCACAAGGAACUCAUCAAACUUCCUGUUUCCAAGUCAGAAUUAAUUCUGCUUCCAGGAUUGCCGCCACUUGAGCCUCAAGAUUUGCCUUCUUUCCUUUAUAAGGAGGGAUCAUACCCUGCUUUCUUUGACAUGCUUUUGGAUCAGUACUCCAAUAUUGAUAAAGCAGAUUGGGUCCUUUGCAACACAUUUUAUGAGUUGGAAAAAGAGGUGGUGGAUUGGCUUGCCAAGCUCUGGCCAUUCAGAACAAUUGGACCUUCUAUACCAUCUAUGUACUUAGAUAGGAGGCUUGAAAAUGACAGAGACUAUGGCUUCAGCCUUUUUGAGCCUAAUAAUUAUGCUUGCAUGAAUUGGAUAAAUGAUAGACCAAAAGAGUCAGUUGUAUAUGUGUCAUUUGGGAGCCUGAUAGAUCUAAGCAUAGAGCAAAUGCAAGAACUUGCCUGGGGAUUGAAGGGGAGCAACAGUUAUUUUUUGUGGGUUGUCAGGGAAUCAGAAGAAGCUAAACUCCCAGAAAAUUUCCUGGAGGAAACUUCCAACAAGGGUUUGGUGGUGACAUGGUGUUCACAGUUAGAGGUUUUAGCACAUGAGGCAGUGGGAUGCUUUCUCACACACUGUGGAUGGAAUUCUAGCCUGGAGGCGUUGAGUUUGGGAGUGCCAAUGGUG